CCAUUUCUAGAUGAAGUGUCUCUUUCAAUCCCAGACCCUCUCUGCCCUUCUAAGUGGCUCACUUGAAAAUAGCUGGGGCCCGACUGCCCCCUGGGAGCAGUGAGCGAGGUCGAGAGCUAGAGAGACCCCAGCUGUGGCUCUCAGUGCCGUAGGCCCACGACAGCUCCGCUGCUUCUGGCUGCCAGCAGAGAGCCGGCCAACUCCAGCAAGUCUGAAAGUUCGUGCUGACUUGACACCCGGGGUCAGGGAGGUUCCUGGCACGCCGUCGAGGGCCCCCAUGUCUUUGCAGGGAUGUCUAAGCGGUGAUACACGGCCAAUGAACUUAGCAGCAGACCAUCUCCCCAGCAGACCCAGGGAGGGAGUUCCUCUCCCAUUUGUAGAUGAGGACACCGCUGCGAACGGAGCUUGGGAACGUGCUGCAGUCACACUGUAAGCGACAGGGUCAGAAUCUGAACCCAGGCAGUCGGAAGGCAGAGCUCUGGCCCUCAACCACUGCCUUCCAGAAGAAGACAAGGAACUGUCUGGGAGCUGGAGUUGUUACGAACACUCCUGGCGACGACACCGAGGACAAAAUGGACACGAAGAAUUGCAGAGCGUGCGGAAGUCCCGUGUGUGACCCCGGAGGAAGUGAAUCUGGGGAGGGAAGGUUUUCAAAGGCACCAGUGACCUGCUCAGAGCAGGAAAGACCUGGGGGGUUAUCGCCUCCACUGCUGAGCCCAAAGGCAGACCUUCCAGGCCUGUCAGGGUCCCAGCAGAUUAUCCUCAGGCUCCAUGAAGUCGGUCUGUCCCAGACAAGGCGGAGACACACAGACUCUUAAAAUAUAGAGCCGUAUGCUCACAAUGUUUAUCAAGGCUGAGAUCAGUGCCAUCCGGGGCGGUAGCCACUUGCCACAUGGGGCUAUUAAGCACUUGAAACGUGGCUAGUCCAAACUACGAUGAGGUGUAAGUACAAAAUCCACACCGGAGUGUGAAAACUUGGAGAGAAAAUCAAACACGAAGUAUCUCGUUAACAAUUGUAUAUUGAUUAGAUAUUUAAAUGAUAAUAUGUUGA